AGAGAAGGGGACGUACCUCCCCCUCAGUGA
rnacentral:tRNA from 1 species